GACGACCGCUGGCGGCGUGCCUAAUACAUGCAAGUCGAGCGGACGGAAGGGAGCUUGCUCCCGGUAAGUCAGCGGCGGACGGGUGAGUAACACGUGGGUAACCUGCCUGUAAGACUGGGAUAACUCCGGGAAACCGGGGCUAAUACCGGAUAGCUUCUUCCUCCGCAUGGAGGAAGAAUGAAAGGCGGCCUUUGGCUGUCACUUACAGAUGGACCCGCGGCGCAUUAGCUAGUUGGUGGGGUAACGGCUCACCAAGGCNACGAUGCGUAGCCGACCUGAGAGGGUGAUCGGCCACACUGGGACUGAGACACGGCCCAGACUCCUACGGGAGGCAGCAGUAGGGAAUCUUCCGCAAUGGACGAAAGUCUGACGGAGCAACGCCGCGUGAGUGAAGAAGGUUUUCGGAUCGUAAAGCUCUGUUGUCAGGGAAGAACAAGUACCGGAGUCACUGCCGGUACCUUGACGGUACCUGACCAGAAAGCCACGGCUAACUACGUGCCAGCAGCCGCGGUAAUACGUAGGUGGCAAGCGUUGUCCGGAAUUAUUGGGCGUAAAGCGCGCGCAGGCGGCCUUUUAAGUCUGAUGUGAAAGCCCACGGCUCAACCGUGGAGGGUCAUUGGAAACUGGAAGGCUUGAGUGCAGAAGAGGAGAGCGGAAUUCCACGUGUAGCGGUGAAUGCGUAGAGAUGUGGAGGAACACCAGUGGCGAAGGCGGCUCUCUGGUCUGUAACUGACGCUGAGGCGCGAAAGCGUGGGGAAGCGAACAGGC
rnacentral:rRNA from 1 species